UCGAACGGCAGCACAGUAAGAGCUUGCUCUUAUGGGUGGCGAGUGGCGGACGGGUGAGGAAUACAUCGGAAUCUACCUUUUCGUGGGGGAUAACGUAGGGAAACUUACGCUAAUACCGCAUACGACCUUCGGGUGAAAGCAGGGGACCUUCGGGCCUUGCGCGGAUAGAUGAGCCGAUGUCGGAUUAGCUAGUUGGCGGGGUAAAGGCCCACCAAGGCGACGAUCCGUAGCUGGUCUGAGAGGAUGAUCAGCCACACUGGAACUGAGACACGGUCCAGACUCCUACGGGAGGCAGCAGUGGGGAAUAUUGGACAAUGGGCGCAAGCCUGAUCCAGCCAUACCGCGUGGGUGAAGAAGGCCUUCGGGUUGUAAAGCCCUUUUGUUGGGAAAGAAAAGCAGUCGAUUAAUACUCGGUUGUUCUGACGGUACCCAAAGAAUAAGCACCGGCUAACUUCGUGCCAGCAGCCGCGGUAAUACGAAGGGUGCAAGCGUUACUCGGAAUUACUGGGCGUAAAGCGUGCGUAGGUGGUUGUUUAAGUCUGUUGUGAAAGCCCUGGGCUCAACCUGGGAAUUGCAGUGGAUACUGGGCGACUAGAGUGUGGUAGAGGGUAGUGGAAUUCCCGGUGUAGCAGUGAAAUGCGUAGAGAUCGGGAGGAACAUCCAUGGCGAAGGCAGCUACCUGGACCAACACUGACACUGAGGCAC
rnacentral:rRNA from 1 species